UACAGAAAAAAGAAGCUCUCGGGAGCCUUUGACUAUAUAAACCCCUCCCUCACCCCCUCGUUAGGGUUUGCUGAAAAAGGGGAGGACAAAUUAGGGUUUCCCACCUUGCCGUCGGAGGGAGAAAGAGAGAUGGAUAGGUUUGGAGGUCGCUUUGGAGAAGGGGGAGAUUCAGCAGGGAGGUAGAGAGGGGUGGCAGUACAUGAAAAAAGAGGAAGGAGGUGAUGGAUUCAGAAGCUACAACACAAGAGAGAACAAGAAGGAAUGGGGGCAAGGAGCGGGCAACAACAAUACCCAGAUGCGACAAGAUCUAGAACAAGAACAGAAGCGUCAAAGAGGAUCUGAGGGGAUGGUGAUGCCAGGCAAAGAAAAGGAAGUUCAAGAGGCUGCUAAAUCAGGUAUGGCUAGUGUGGGAGAUAAGGAUAGCAGCAACUCAGUGGGUGGUAGUGAGAUCUUGCAUCAACCAUAAUUGUUUUCUACUCUUCUGACCCAAUUAACUCAAGGGAACCCCCUGUUGGGGUGGGAAUGUUAAUUUACAUGGAGGAUCCAAUGUGCUGCAACAAAAUAUGGUGAGAGACAUGUCCAGAGGAGACAACAACUAUGCAUAGGGGGGAGAGAUGCAAAAAAAAUCCACGGAACAACAGACCGACAACAUCAUUAGAGAGAGAUGGGCCAUGGAUGGAUGAUACACAAGGGAGAGAGAGAUUGGAAAAGGAGGACAACUAAAAUAAGGAAACAAGAUGGUCAUGGGAGGGAACAACAAAGUGAUGUGCAACAAAUGCAAAGAUACCAGACUUGCUACAAAAGACUGUAAACUUGAUCACUUUGUAGUGUGUGGAAAAAUAAAUCACAUUACUGAUGAUUGCACUUGGCUGAGGCAGAUGAAACAUGUCCCCAAAUUUGUGGGUUAUGCUGCAAGAGGUCUGGGAGUGCUAUUGGUGUAGAGCUCCAAGGACAUCAUGGAUAUUGAAGGUCGCAACCCAAUGGCCUUGGUGACAGUCAGAUCUGGGGUGAUAAAUGAGACUCAACUGCUGGAGGGUUUUAAUUACAUGUUCAAUUGGAAUUGGCAGUGGAGAUAUAAGAAACAAGGAAGCAAUGCAUUUCUGAUGAGAUUUCCAAACAAAGGAAGAUUAAUGGAACUAAUCAACUGUGAUGAUUUCACUCUCUUUGGCACUAGAGCAGUGGUGAAUGUCAAGAAAUGGGCCUUUGACUCUCAGGCAGUAGGGAAAUUGCAUACAGUUUGGGUGACAUUUGGAAAAGUCCCUGAAUGCUUCAGACACUUCUUUGGGAUGUGUGAGGUGGCAGCAUCUUUAGUUCCAGUGUUGGGAAUUGACAUGGGCACCAAACUUUGAGAAAAUACCAAGCUACACUGAGAUCACUAACAAAGAUCUAAACAUAUACAGAAUCAUGCCAAGUCUAGAGAAGGUGGUGGAGAUGGGCUGGUACGGAGAACACAAGAGACAACACCUGGAAGAUACAUGAAUGGACUGUGUGGGUGAUGAGAUAAGGAAAAGACAGAAAAACUCCACUAAUACAGAGGGAAGCAACAGAGGGACGGUGACACUGGGAAGUUUGAAUUUGGUGCAGUUUGAGGAAAUCAAAAAAAGAAGUGAUGCCAUCCUGUUGGCUCAACAAGAACAGGACAGAGAGAGAUGCAAGGAAAAAGUGGAAGCAGAUUUGGAUGUGGUUAUGAAGAUGCAGGAGAUAGAAGAAAAAAAAGCUAGACAAAAAGCACUCAAAGCACAGGAUGAAAAAAAGGAUUCUGGAUAUGGAGGAGAAAAAGCAUAUAUGAUGGAAUUGGUACAUAAACAGCAAACCAUGAUUGCUAGAUGUGUGGAGAAAAUUGAAAGGUGGGAAGAAAGGGAGAGAGAGAGAUGGAGGAGAUCACUGACAAGGAACUUAAAAAUAUGGAAGAGGAAAAUAAAACUGAUGAAACAACACAUAUGUGGAGCCUGUGAACUAUGGUGCUAGUCAAGAAUCAGCUGACUCUUUUGGCACUAGAUUGGGGUUGAAGCCUGGUGAAAGAGGAGAGGAGAAGGACAUUGACAUCAUUGUGGAAGACAACUUGAGAAGAUGUGGUAGGCUGGUGGAUAAAAAAGAUACUAAGAUUGAUGAGCUUGCCAAACAGAGGGCAGCAAAUAAAGAUAACUAUGAGGAAACCCCAGAACAAAGGCUACUGAUGCUGGGGGCAAAGCUAAUCAAACGAGUAGCAAGUGAUAUCUACAAGGCAUCACAAGGAUGGAGGCCCGGGGUGCUACGUCUGGCAGGCUGAAGUGGACCUGUUCUAUAUUCUUGUUUGAUAGUAGCUAGUAGUUUGCUUGUUUUGCUAUCUCCGAUUUCGGGGCUGCAUCCCCUCUCUCUCUCUCUCUUGGCCGCCUGUGACUUAGGAAUUUUAGUUGGUAUGAACUUGAACUCCUAAGGUCUGUACACCCCUCCAGGGGUUAGUUGUCUAGGGAGCUGAACUUGAUACCUCAACUCGUUCUCAUGGGAUGGUUUCGUUAAUGAAA